rnacentral:rRNA from 1 species
CAGUAGCCGCGGGAAUACGUAGGUGGCAAGCGUUGUCCGGGAUUAUUGGGCAUAAAGGGCUCGCAGGCGGUUUCUUAAGUCUGAUGUGAAAGCCCCCGGCUCAACCGGGGAGGGUCAUUGGAAACUGGGAAACUUGAGUGCAGAAGAGGAGAGUGGAAUUCCACGUGUAGCGGUGAAAUGCGUAGAGAUGUGGAGGAACACCAGUGGCGAAGGCGACUCUCUGGUCUGUAACUGACACUGAGAGACGAAAGCUAGGGGAGCAAAUGGGAUUAGAUACCCGGUAGUCCCUGUCUCUUAUACC